rnacentral:rRNA from 1 species
UACGAAGGGGGCUAGCGUUGCUCGGAAUCACUGGGCGUAAAGGGUGCGUAGGCGGGUCUUUAAGUCAGGGGUGAAAUCCCGGGGCUCAACCCCGGAACUGCCUUUGAUACUGGAUAUCUUGAGUUCGGAAGAGGUAAGUGGAAUUGCGAGUGUAGAGGUGAAAUUCGUAGAUAUUCGCAGGAACACCAGUGGCGAAGGCGGCUUACUGGUCCGAUACUGACGCUGAGGUGCGAAAGCGUGGGGAGCAAACAGG